CCUCUUUUCUUGCGCGUGCGUGCAGCUCCUAUGCUCACCCUAAGAAGUGGAGGGGCCGUGCAGAGUGUGGGCCCGAGGGUCCAUAGAUGACGUUAUCAGUCGAUAGGCAUUUAUUCUACUGUUCGAGGAAAACAAAUAAGGUGCAGCUUAGGCGAAAAGAAAAACAUCUUAUUGCCAGUGUCUAAACUCCAACGGAAUGUGUCUGAGACCGUGUGUAUGGAUACACGUGUACUUGAAACAGCCCCGCCUGUCUGUACAGCUCUUGCUGUAAGUCAACGCUUUACCGGAGCUAUCGCACUUAAGCCUCAGAACAACUUUAUGAGGUCUACUUCUAACAGGCUUGUUUAUAUGAAUUCUUAUUCUAUCCUGGAUUGGAAUCAGAAUAUUGGACAGUGUUGCAGGUUCUGACUGAUGCAGGCACACCGACAGUGAUGAAAGUGAGAACUGUGAUUCUACUUGAAAGGAACGGAGGAGAGCAGAACCUUCAGUGUCCUGUGAUGUACAACUCCCGUGGGCAACAUUUACAUUGUAAUGUAUGUAAAUGGCAUUUCCUGAAGCACAAUUAAGAGGCUACAGAAUGUAUCUUCCAGGAGGGCAGGCCUAUAUCUUUUUGCUUACUCCACCUCCCUUCUAGCAAGUGUUUGACACAUAAAAGAUGUUCAGUAAGUAUUGCAAAAUUUUUACCAGAUGAAGAAGCUUAAAAAUGUUGGCCUUGGGGCUUCACUGGUGGCGCAGUCGUUGAGAAUCUGCCUGCUAAUGCAGGGGACACGGGUUCGAGCCCUGGUCUGGGAGGAUUCCACAUGCUGCGGAGCAACUAGGCCCAUGAGCCGCAACUACUGAGCCUGCGCGUCUGGAGCCGGUGCUCCGCAACAACAGAGGCCACAAUAGUGAGAGGCCCGCGCACCAUGAUGAAGAGUGGCCCCUGCUUGCCACAACUAGAGAAAGCCCUCGCACAGAAACGAAGACCCAACACAGCAAAAAUAAAUAAAGAAAAAAAAAUGUUGGCCUUGUAGUCUAUUUCUAGGAAUUCAUCCUAAUUUAGGAAAUAAUCUGAAAUGCUAAAACAGAUUUAUGCAUAAAAAGUUCAUAGCAACAUUAUUUAUAAGAAAGUAAGGAAAAUAGCUUAAAUGACCACUUAAGGAAACACUACUAUACACAAGGAUCAUUAAUGCAGCCAUUGAAAAUGUUUUUAAAGAGUUUUAAAUAACUUGAGGAAACAUUUCUGAUAAAUCGUUAUGAAAAAAAGACAGUGUGCUCAAGCAAACAGUUUAAACUUCAUAAGCUUAAAAAACU